GUGACACCAAGAUGUCGCAGACCCAUGGUACGGAAAAGGUUGAAUACAAGAGGUACGGGCGUCCACGGAAACACCACAUAUGGACAUGGAUUCAUGUAUGGGGUUACAUCCUGUUGAUGUUUUGCUAAAAGAUUCAAGAAGAAUGCACGAAGUUAAAGAGCGUUAGAGCGCGAGAGUCAAGGGUGGAAGAUUAAAAGUACAGUAUUUGCCCGAACAGCCGCGGGUCUUAUCUAAUUCUUUAUGGCCCAGAGAGGAGGCGCUUUUUUGUCUACCCAUGAUAACUCAUGAAGUAAAGCUCACCGAUGGUAAAUCUCUGGACAAACAGCUUCCCAAGUAAACAGGACAAAAGAAAGCAAUAGAUGUUGUCACGAGAGCAACAAGAAUUGCCUCGAGUAUUCUAAAAUAAAGACAAGAAUUAAACACACUGUUAUCAAUGAGUAGAUAAUAGCGAAUGUAUCAUAAAUUAAUGCAUCAAACUUUCAAAGUUUUUUUAUAUGAUCAUUUAUUUGACAGCUACAAUGAUUAUGUUAUAUUUGCAAUCUAAGAGACAAAGGGCAGUAAAUUUUAAAAAUGGA